rnacentral:tRNA from 2 species
CGGGGCGUAGCGUAGGUGGCUAGCGCGCCGGCUUCGGGAGCCGGAGGUCACCGGUUCAAGUCCGGUCGCCCCGA